rnacentral:rRNA from 1 species
GACUGCGGAGGAUCAUUAACGUGGGGCUUCGGCCCCGCCGAGAUAGAACCCUUGCCUUUUGUAUACCGUCCGUUUCCUCGGCAGGCUCGCCUGCCAAUGGGGACCAUAAUAAACCUUUGUAAUAACCUGUAAUUGUCUGAUCAAAAAAUUAAAUUUAAAACUUUUAACAACGGAUCUCUUGGUUCUGGCAUCGAUGAAGAACGCAGCGAAAUGCGAUAAGUAGUGUGAAUUGCAGAAUUCAGUGAAUCAUCGAAUCUUUGAACGCACAUUGCGCCCAUUGGUAUUCCUUUGGGCAUGCCUGUUCGAGCGUCAUUUUAACCCUCAAGCUCUGCUUGGUGUUGGGUGUCUGUCCUGCCCUCGGGUGCGGACUCGCCUCAAAUUCAUUGGCGGCCGGUACAUUGGCUUCGAGCGCAGCAGAAACGCGAACUCGGGGACGGUGGAUCGGCUCCCAUAAGCCAUUUUAUCAAUUUUGACCUCGGAUCAGGUAGGGAUACCCGCUGAACUUAAGCAUAUCAAUAAGCGGAGGA